rnacentral:rRNA from 1 species
UACAGGGGGUGCAAACGUUGCUCGGAAUCAUUGGGCGUAAAGCGCACGUAGGCGGUCUGUUAUGUCGGAUGUGAAAGCCCUUGGCUCAACUGAGGAAGUGCAUCCGAAACUAGCAGGCUAGAGUACUAAAGAGGAUCGCGGAAUUCCCGGUGUAGAGGUGAAAUUCGUAGAUAUCGGGAGGAACACCGGUGGCGAAGGCGGCAUCCUGGACCAAUUCUGACACUGAGGAGCGAAAGCCAGGGGAGCAAACGGG